rnacentral:rRNA from 1 species
CCUACGGGAGGCAGCAGUGAGGAAUAUUGGUCAAUGGACGAGAGUCUGAACCAGCCAAGUAGCGUGAAGGAUGACUGCCCUAUGGGUUGUAAACUUCUUUUAUAAAGGAAUAAAACGAGGCACGUGUGCCUUUUUGCAUGUACUUUAUGAAUAAGGAUCGGCUAACUCCGUGCCAGCAGCCGCGGUAAUACGGAGGAUCCGAGCGUUAUCCGGAUUUAUUGGGUUUAAAGGGAGCGUAGAUGGGUUGUUAAGUCAGUUGUGAAAGUUUGCGGCUCAACCGUAAAAUUGCAAUUGAUACUGGCAGUCGUGAGUACAGUUGAGGUAGGCGGAAUUCGUGGUGUAGCGGUGAAAUGCUUAGAUAUCACGAAGAAGCCCGAUUGCGAAGGCAGCUUACUAAACUGUGACUGACAUUGAUGCUCGAAAGUGUGGGUAUCAAACAGGAUUAGAUACCCCUGUAGUC